rnacentral:rRNA from 1 species
CGGGUAGCGUAACACGUAUAGUAACCUACCUUAGAUCAGGGGGAUAGCCUCUCGAAAGAGAGAUUAAGACCGCAUAAUAUAGAAGAUACAGCAUUGUACUUUCAUCAAUAUUAUAGGAUCAAGAUAGGGCAUAGCGGAACAUUAGCUAGUAGGUAAGGUAAUAGGCUUAACCAAGGCUAACGAUGUUGAGGGGAUCUGAUGAGGAUAGGCCCCCCACACUAGGUACUAGAGACACGGACCAAACCUCAUAACGGGAGGCAGCAGUAAAGGAAUAUAUGGUCAAUAGGGCGCAAGCCUAGAACCAGCCAUAGCCUGCGUAGCAGGAAGACGGCCCUACGGGUAUAGUAAACUAGCUUUUAUAACCGGAAUAAAACCUACAGGUACGUAGACCUAGGGCUAGAAUAGUACGGUAAGAAUAAGGAUACGGCUAAACUACCGUAGCCAGCAGCCGCGGUAAAUACGGAGGAUACCAAGCGUAUAUCCGGAUUUCAUUGGGUUUAAACGGGUAGCGUACGGUAGGCCUAGUAUAAAGUACACGGGUGUAGAAAGACGGUAAGGCUACAACUAAUACGCAGUUGCCCUUGAAUAACUAGACGGGCUUAGAAUAGAACUAGAGGUAGGGCCGGAAUGUAGACAAGUAGCCGGUGAAAUGCAUAGGAUAUAGUCACAGGAAC